rnacentral:rRNA from 2 species
AGAGUUUGAUCCUGGCUCAGAACGAACGCUGGCGGCAUGCCUAACACAUGCAAGUCGAACGGUGUCUCUGCUUCGGCGGGGGCAUAGUGGCGCACGGGUGAGUAACGCGUGGGAACCUGCCCUGUGGUACGGAACAACUCCGGGAAACUGGAGCUAAUACCGUAUGGGUCCUGCGGGACAAAGAUUGAUCGCCAUGGGAGGGGCCCGCGUAGGAUUAGCUGGUUGGUGGGGUAACGGCCUACCAAGGCAACGAUCCUUAGCUGGUCUGAGAGGAUGAUCAGCCACACUGGGACUGAGACACGGCCCAGACUCCUACGGGAGGCAGCAGUGGGGAAUAUUGGACAAUGGGCGCAAGCCUGAUCCAGCAAUGCCGCGUGAGUGAUGAAGGCCUUCGGGUUGUAAAGCUCUUUCGCACGCGACGAUGAUGACGGUAGCGUGAGAAGAAGCCCCGGCUAACUUCGUGCCAGCAGCCGCGGUAAUACGAAGGGGGCGAGCGUUGUUCGGAAUUACUGGGCGUAAAGGGCGCGUAGGCGGUGGGUCAAGUCAGGCGUGAAAGCCCCGGGCUCAACCUGGGAACGGCGCUUGAGACUGGCCCGCUUGAGUUCGGGAGAGGAUGGUGGAAUUCCCAGUGUAGAGGUGAAAUUCGUAGAUAUUGGGAAGAACACCGAUGGCGAAAGCAGCCAUCUGGACCGACACUGACGCUGAGGCGCGAAAGCGUGGGGGAGCAAACAUGAUUAGAUACCCUGGUAGUCCACGCCGUAAACGAUGAGUGCUAGACGUCGGGCUCCUGGAGUAAGGCGCUCAAGCCAAACUAUAAAGAUUCCCCUUGGGGAGUUAGGCCGCAAGGUUAAAAACUAAAAAAACAUAAACGCCGCCCCGCACAAGCGGUGGUCCAUGUGUUCUUUUUUAAACCAACGAGCAGAACAUUACCAGCCCUUGACAUGAGCGUCAAGGGUGGGGAGAACCAUCUUUCGGUUCGGCCGGACGCCGAACAGGUGCUGCAUGGCUGUCGUCAGCUCGAGUCGUGAGAUGUUGGGUUAAGUCCCGCAACGAGCGCAACCCCCAUCCCCAGUUGCCCCCGGGUCAUGCCGGGCACUCCGGGGAAACCGCCGGUGACAAGCCGGAGGAAGGCGGGGAUGACGUCAAGUCCUCAUGGCCCUUAUGGGCUGGGCUACACACGUGCUACAAUGGUGGUGACAGUGGGCCGCGAGACCGCGAGGUCGAGCCAAUCCCCAAAAGCCAUCUCAGUUCGGAUUGCACUCUGCAACUCGGGUGCAUGAAGGUGGAAUCGCUAGUAAUCGCGGAUCAGCACGCCGCGGUGAAUACGUUCCCGGGCCUUGUACACACCGCCCGUCACACCAUGGGAGUUGGUUUUACCCGAAGCCGGUGCGCUAACCCUCUCGCUUACUUGUAAGCGAGGUGGGGGGCAGCCGACCACGGUCAGGUCAGCGACUGGGGUGAAGUCGUAACAAGGUAGCCGU